rnacentral:lncRNA from 1 species
UUACCUGAAGGCUUGGGUUCAUGGGGUAUGUGGGGUGCACCUGCCUUCCUGCAGCAGGGGUGGGUGCAGAUUGGGGGGUCCAUAUCUGCAGCAGGGUAGGAAGGGUGCUGGCAGUGGGAACGCAGGGCACGCUGGGGGGUUGUGGAAGUUUUCUCUUGCCUUUGAAGCAGCAUUUAACCAGGUCAGGAGCUGGCUGCUCAUCGAGGCAGGACAGAAGUCUUUCCUUGCUUCACCAUGAUGGGACCCAGUUCCGUUUCUGGGUGGCUUUUGCUCUCCAGUGCUGUCAUCAGCAGUGUCCCAGUGCAACCCAAGGUUUCCUGCUGGGAAUGUCUCAUUUUCCGUGGCUGAGAGCCUUGCUCUUGUGGGCGUUGAUUUGGUCGUUGCACAGAGGAAGAGAGGUGGAAGCAGCAGGAUUUGAU